GCGAGAGUGGCGAAAUUGGUAGACGCACUGGAUUUAGGUUCCAGCGCCGCAAGGCGUGGGGGUUCGAGUCCCUUCUCUCGCACCA
rnacentral:tRNA from 2 species